AUGCAACGCCGAGAACCUUACCAGGAUUUGACAUCCCCGGACCGCCUUUAGAAAUAGGGUUUUCCAGGCUUUCGGUCUGGACUGGGAGACAGGUGGUGCAUGGCUGUCGUCAGCUCGUGCCGUGAGGUGUUGGGUUAAGUCCCGCAACGAGCGCAACCCUUUGUCGUCUGUUGCCAGCGGUUUGGCCGGGCACUCAGACGAGACCGCCGGAGUAAUCCGGAGGAAGAUGAGGACGACGUCAAGUCGGCAUGCCCCUUACAUCCUGGGCUACACACGUGCUACAAUGGCCGGUACAAAGAGCAGCGAAGCCGCGAGGUGGAGCGAAUCUCACAAAGCCGGUCUCAGUUCGGAUCGGGAGUCUGCAACUCGACCCCGUGAAGUCGGAAUCGCUAGUAACCGUGGGUCAGCAACACCGCGGUGAAUACGUUCCGGGCCUU
rnacentral:rRNA from 1 species